GGGUGGGUUUUAGUACGUAGAAACCGUGCAUGCUGCUACUAAAAACCAGCAGUAUCUUUUGAAGAUUUUCUAUCUC
rfam:Glossina austeni unplaced genomic scaffold Scaffold91, whole genome shotgun sequence.